rnacentral:rRNA from 1 species
UACGAAGGGGGCUAGCGUUGUUCGGAAUUACUGGGCGUAAAGCGCACGUAGGCGGAUUGUUAAGUCGGGGGUGAAAUCCUGAGGCUCAACCUCAGAACUGCCUUCGAUACUGGCAAUCUCGAGUCCGGAAGAGGUUGGUGGAACAGCUAGUGUAGAGGUGAAAUUCGUAGAUAUUAGCUAGAACACCAGUGGCGAAGGCGGCCAACUGGUCCCGGUAACGUGGACCGGCUGAG